rnacentral:rRNA from 1 species
AGUGAACGCUGGCGGUAGGCCUAACACAUGCAAGUCGAACGGCAGCACAGUAAGAGCUUGCUCUUACGGGUGGCGAGUGGCGGACGGGUGAGGAAUACAUCUGAAUCUACUUUUUCGUGGGGGAUAACGUAGGGAAACUUACGCUAAUACCGCAUACGACCUACGGGUGAAAGCAGGGGAUCUUCGGACCUUGCGCGAUUGAAUGAGCCGAUGUCGGAUUAGCUAGUUGGCGGGGUAAAGGCCCACCAAGGCGACGAUCCGUAGCUGGUCUGAGAGGAUGAUCAGCCACACUGGAACUGAGACACGGUCCAGACUCCUACGGGAGGCAGCAGUGGGGAAUAUUGGACAAUGGGCGCAAGCCUGAUCCAGCCAUACCGCGUGGGUGAAGAAGGCCUUCGGGUUGUAAAGCCCUUUUGUUGGGAAAGAAAAGCAGCAGGUUAAUACCCCGCUGUUCUGACGGUACCCAAAGAAUAAACACCGGCUAACUUCGU